GGCUCUCCCUCCUUUGUCUCUCAGCUGGUGCUCCAGGCUUUCUUGUCCACCCCUGUCCACAGAGCCAGGCUGCACCUUGUUCAUGCCCAUGGGGUUGCCACUCAACUUUCAGAGGAUUUGACGGCCCCAUCCUGGCAUCUCCCGAUGCUGAGUGCCGGCAGGUUCUGGUUAAUGUUCAGUCUUAUACCUGCUACUCCAUUUGAAGUCUCUUUGCUUGACAUCACUAGAGAAGGAGAGAACUGACUACCAUACUGGGUUUUAUCACCCUUCCAAGAGCCGAGCUUUGGGUGGUUUUCUGGAAACCCAUCCCAUACAUGUGGGAUGUAGGUAGGUUCUGUCCUCCUGAGAGAGGCUCAGACUGAAGCAGGAAUUAAGAACUUCUCAGUGGAAAGGAAUGAAAGACCUAGAAUGUAGGUGACCUAGAGCGGAGGCUGAGUGAAACCUCCAAAAAGUAGGCCAAAGUCAGGGUGGAAGAACCCUGAAGGAUAAAGGUACUCCCUAAAAGUGAGACUUGUGGAAGCUGUGGUUGGAACCCUCAAACCUUCCAUGUGUGGCCCUGGCUCAGGAAUAUGAUAUGACUGCAGGGGUCCACACUGGAUCUGGGGGUGCAGUGGGACUGGAGGGGUCAUUGUUCUAUCAGUGUUCCUUGCUUCUCUGGCUUCCUCCCCUCUUUCUCUGACUCCUUUGGUGGCUUCUCCCUGCCACUCCCUGCCUGUCCCCUGCUCCCUUCUCUUUGCCAUGUUCUCCCCUGUGG
rnacentral:lncRNA from 10 species